CUUCAUGGUAUAUUUUGAAGUGGUGCUCAAGUUUGGCUUGUAGUGAUGAGUCUCGUAUUCUUUUAUGCUUAGGUAACUAAAAGAUUUCGUUACUACCUGCUAGAGGAGCUUGUGUUACUCCAGUGUAAUUUUUGAGGCAAUUUCUGCUCUUACAAGUUUUUAAAUGCUGGUUAACAGCAACAUUCCUUAUCCUGGAUGCCUGAAGAGAGCCAUGGCCUGCCCUUUAAUUGAAGGUUGGUUGGUGGUAGAGGUGAGAGGUUGAAUAACCGAACAUUUAUCAAGCUGGAGGUGGGGGCUAAGUGGGUUCUUGUCUUUGUUCAAUUGUGAGAUAUGUGGCAACCUCCAUUGGCUUGGUCUGUUCUUUUGGUUUGGCCAUAUCCUGAGUCACCAUGGUAUCAGGUGUUUUACUCUCGUCUUUCCCUUUUCCCUGGAAGUUCUGCACCAUGCCGAGCAGCUUCUGGAGACCACCACCGAAAUUUUGAGUCCACCUCCAAAACUGAAUACAUCCAAGGAUUGCUUCCAGACAAAAGGAAAGACACUUCUCCGACAGCAGCCAGAACCUGGGAAGGGCUCUACCUAACCACAGGAGACACCAUACCUUAGACAAACCAUAAUGAUGAAUUCUAGAAAUAAAAGCAUAUGGUUUCCAACAUAUCUCA